rnacentral:rRNA from 1 species
UACGGAGGGGGCGAGCGUUGUUCGGAGUUACUGGGCGUAAAGCGCACGUAGGCGGUGCGGUAAGUCAGGGGUUAAAGGCUGCAGCUCAACUGCAGUAAGGCCUUUGAUACUAUCGUGCUAGAGUGCCGGAGAGGGUAGCGGAAUUCCCUGUGUAGCGGUGAAAUGCGUAGAUAUAGGGAGGAACACCGGUUGCGAAGGCGGCUACCUGGCCGGUAACUGACGCUGAGGUGCGAGAGCGUGGGUAGCAAACAGG